rnacentral:snRNA from 1 species
AGCUUUGCGCAGUGGCAGUAUCGUAGCCAAUGAGGUUUAUCCGAGGCGCGAUUAUUGCUAAGUGAAAACUUUUCCUAAAGUUGAAAUAUUAUAAAGUUAACAAUAGAGUUUUAAUAUUAAAUUCUGCAUUCUAUUUUACCUCUCACAAUUAA